AACGGAACGGCCGGCGGGCGGGUUUGCUCUGCAGGUGCCCGACGGCAAGCAGGCUCGGCGCCGGGCAUCCGCGCGGGACUCGGGUGGAAACUACACCCCGAGAGGAAGAGGGGAGGGGCGGCGAAGGGGAGAAGCCCGGGGACGGCAGGACCCACAAGCUUCUCCCUCUGCCGAGGGCGGCUCCGCGCAGACCCCGUUCUCAGCGCUGAUUUCGGGCCUCGCGACGCCACCUACGUGGCCAGCCAGGGCCGAACGAACGAGAGGCCCUCGGGAACAUGCACCAUGAAUGAUGAAAUGAUUCAGAAACAUCUUCAGAAGUCAGAACGAGCGGCAAAACCCAUCGCUGUUCCGGUGAGGCCAGAGGGAGAGAGCCUACCUGCAGGGGCUGAAUGGAUCAUCCAUGACUAACAGAGGCUCUGCAGGGUCUUCAAGAGGAAACAAAAUCAAAAGGCCCACGGAGGUGAAUGGCCAUAUAUACGGUGAGUGACCAGAAACUGCAGCGCGCUUCUAAACGUGCCAGUAGCUUCCGAAGGGAGACCACCCCACGAAUCUCGUCUGGAAAACUUUGUAAACGUUUGGGAAAAGGCCACACAAACAAUCCUGGCAAAGCUAUGGAGUCCUGGGUAUCGUCACAGCUACGAACGCAGUGUAGACAGUAGCGCAAGCGGGGUAGCCGAAGCAUGCUGCGUUUUGUGCAAAGAGCCUAAUCUCCCUUAAACAAGCCGCUCUAAAAUUGCCUAGAUAACAAAUAAAAACAUUUCCUGAAGAGAUACGAACCCAGUCGGGCAUGUCUCGCUUGAAGAAUGGACUUCCAACACUGAGAAGGGUAGGAAAGUUCAAAUCAAGAGGGCAAAGGACACCUUGCCACAAACACUCGAGCAUCUAGAAAUCUCAUUUGAGGUCUCCCGAUUCAAAAUUCUCGGCAAUGGUUUACAGCAUCGCCCACGAAGCUAAAUUCAUUUGCAAUUUAAUCAGAAAAGAUUUCUCAAGCCACAUCAACAAGGCCACACCAACCUCGUCACACUGAGCAACGUAUCCGUAUCGUCCAUAGUACCGGCCAAGACAUUUUCUGUUAAAAUCUUCAAAAACACGUCUUGUGCCCUCUCCCCACAACCUCCACCUCCAGCACAAAGGCAAAGUGGGCUGUCGGCCACGUAAGAUAUUCUGACUCUGGAGGUAAACGCAAGCUUAGUGUCCAUUUGCAAACUAAGAGAUGACUCUACGUAUGAUUACUCAGUUAUGAUUAAAAAAAAAAAAAAAAAAAGGAAA